rnacentral:tRNA from 1 species
GGCUUUAUAUUUACAUCAGUAAUAUUAGAUUGCAAAUCUGAAGGGGCAAUAAAUUUUGCUAAGGCUU